UCUAUAACCGGGUGUGGUUGCGGCCCUCGGGGGCGUGGGCGCCUUUUGGUGCCCUCUCUUCCGGGUGGUAGAGGUAAAACUCUCACGCUCCACAUGUCUGAAUCCUUUUUUUACGAGCACCUUUCGUUCUCCUUCGGUGGGGCAACCUGCCGUUGGAACUUAUCAAACUCUUUUUUGCAUCUAGCAUUACCUGUUCUGAUACAAACAAUCGUUA
rnacentral:misc_RNA from 1 species